AUUGAACGCUGGCGGCAUGCUUUACACAUGCAAGUCGAACGGUAACAGGCCGCAAGGUGCUGACGAGUGGCGAACGGGUGAGUAAUGCAUCGGAACGUGCCCAGUCGUGGGGGAUAACGCAGCGAAAGCUGCGCUAAUACCGCAUACGAUCUAUGGAUGAAAGCGGGGGACCGUAAGGCCUCGCGCGAUUGGAGCGGCCGAUGUCAGAUUAGGUAGUUGGUGGGGUAAAGGCUCACCAAGCCAGCGAUCUGUAGCUGGUCUGAGAGGACGACCAGCCACACUGGGACUGAGACACGGCCCAGACUCAUACGGGAGGCAGCAGUGGGGAAUUUUGGACAAUGGGCGCAAGCCUGAUCCAGCAAUGCCGCGUGCAGGAAGAAGGCCUUCGGGUUGUAAACUGCUUUUGUACGGAACGAAACGGUUCUGGUUAAUACCUGGGGCUAAUGACGGUACCGUAAGAAUAAGCACCGGCUAACUACGUGCCAGCAGCCGCGGUAAAAC
rnacentral:rRNA from 1 species